rnacentral:rRNA from 1 species
UAUCCUACGGGAGGCAGCAGUGGGGGAUAUUGGACAAUGGGGGAAACCCUGAUCCAGCGACGCCGCGUGAGUGAAGAAGUAUUUCGGUAUGUAAAGCUCUGUCAGCAGGGAAGAAAGAAAUGACGGUACCUGACUAAGAAGCCCCGGCUAACUACGUGCCAGCAGCCGCGGUAAUACGUAGGGGGCAAGCGUUAUCCGGAUUUACUGGGUGUAAAGGGAGCGUAGACGGCGGCGCAAGUCUGGAGUGAAAUCCCGGGGCUCAACCCCGGAACUGCUUUGGAAACUGCGCGGCUCGAGUGCAGGAG